UAAUAAUAAUAAUAUAGUAUAAUCUAUAAUAGAAAAGAAUCUGAAAAUGAAUAUGUAUAAUAUAUAUAUUAUAUAUAUAUGUAUUUCUGAAUCAACUUGCUGUACACUUGAAACUGACACAACAUUGUAAAUUAACUAUACUUCAAUUUUAAAAAAUCCUCAAGGUGGGAAAAACUUGGAAAAGGAUAAACCUUUCAUUUUUAUACCUCUGACUUUUUAAUCUAGAUCUUCUACAAUACAUUUGCUGUGCUUUGCUUUGCUUACUGUUGUUAAUUUCAAGUUAAGUGUGAGUAAAAUAAAUACCUGGAAAAAAAAGUGAGUUUGUGAUUUUAGUCAACCAACCAGGUGGAUUGUGAAAUGUGAGAGGAUUACUCUCUUAAAAUAUUCACAUCUUUCUCUUUUACAGGGAUACUCUUCUGUCUCCGAGAAACACUUAUUAUACCCAUGAUUUUGGCCUGGGUCCACUGUUCUGCAGCCUCGACAAUAAACUGAGUCGUGGAGGGGCCUGUGGCCUUGGCCAUGAAGAAAGCUACAAUGUGGCCCAUGAACUGAGUCACAGUCAUGAAGGUGAUUGUGAAAAUGAGUCACCGAGGUUUCUACUGAAGAGGCCAUGAUGAAAACCACAGGCUUGGGGCCACGAACGAAACCACGGAAGAGGACACACCAGUGAGAGCCACAGAGCAGAUCUUAGUGGAGUCAUUGAAGAGGGCAUGGCCAUAGAUGCUGGGAGUGGGAGACAUGUUAAGGGAGGAAACCUUGAUGGAGAAGAGGACCAUGGAGGUGAAGACAAAGAACCAUGAUGAGGGAGUGAGUCGUGAUGGAAGACCAGGAUGCUCCCAGGGAAUAGCCAUAGGCUAUAGCCUGUGUCAAGGACAAGAGUAAGCAAAGCCUUCCCAUGUCUGACAAGCAAAGUUACAGUGUUGGAGCAGAGUGUUGUUUCAGAAGAGACUCAUAGCUUCAUCAGGCUUAGCAAUGAUGUCAAGCAAUUCAUUUCAGGGCCCUCCAGAGCUUGACUUUGUCUUUAAGAAGAGUCUUCCUCCCUUCCUGUGUCUCCUCCAGACAUUGUGUGAUGAAGAAGAAAAUACAGCCACUCUGAGAAAUAAACAUACUCUAAGAAAUAAAAGUUUAUCAAUGCAUGUUGACCAUGAAAUCGUCAUCUUUUUAACUUUGUGUUUGUUUUGCUACCAUUUUGCUUCUGAGUGACUUCUAUUUUUUUUUAAAUAUACCAUCGUUUA
rnacentral:lncRNA from 1 species